GAUGAACGCUAGCGGCAGGCCUAACACAUGCAAGUCGAGGGGUAAGGUUCAGCUUGCUGAACACACGACCGGCGCACGGGUGAGUAACGCGUUUGCAACCUACCCUUAACUGGAGGAUAGCUUCCGGAAACGGAAAUUAAUACUUCAUAACAUUCUUACAGGGCAUCCUGUUUGAAUCAAAGCUCAGGCGGUUAAGGAUGGGCAUGCGUGACAUUAGCUUGUUGGUGAGGUAACGGCUCACCAAGGCUACGAUGUCUAGGGGGUCUGAGAGGAUGAUCCCCCACACUGGUACUGAGACACGGACCAGACUCCUACGGGAGGCAG
rnacentral:rRNA from 1 species